UGAUUCCUGUCAUAAUCAUUUUUAUGAACACAGCCCCUUAAAUUCUGCAUAGUUAACACGCAAGUGGGGAAGAGAAACUGCAAUCUACAGAGUCAAGUCACACUAAUGUGACCACCUCCUAUAUUAACGUCAGCGCUAAACAUACAAUGACGUAAAUCAUGUAUCAGCAGCAAAUUUGCUCACCAAUUUAUUUUCUCGUGGAUAUUGGCUGCAUGGGUUCUGAGUGAUGAAGCAACAAUAGUGAAGAACUUCAAGAAAACGAGAUUAUCUAGUUUCAUAGUUCUGAAGAUCAUUGCACGUGGCAUAGCAGAGUGAAUGGUAACGAUGGAAACGACUUACAUGUUACAGAAGACAAAACAGAAAGAAAGUAAUUUCAGCAGCACUGAAUGACGUGAGGCCUAAGGAGUUGCAGUGGACAACAAUAAGAACAAUCGAGAUUCAAGAUACAGGAAAGAAGAUAUGAAAAUAUCUUAUUAGGUAUUGUAAAGGUAUUAUGAGUAUAUAUUCUUACUGAAAUGUAGUUUUUUUUAAUAAAUAAUAUGAUAGUU